rnacentral:rRNA from 1 species
AUUGAACGCUGGCGGCAUGCCUUACACAUGCAAGUCGAACGGCAGCACGGGAGCAAUCCUGGUGGCGAGUGGCGAACGGGUGAGUAAUAUAUCGGAACGUGCCCAGUCGUGGGGGAUAACGUAGCGAAAGCUACGCUAAUACCGCAUACGAUCUAUGGAUGAAAGCGGGGGAUCGCAAGACCUCGCGCGAUUGGAGCGGCCGAUAUCAGAUUAGGUAGUUGGUGAGGUAAAGGCUCACCAAGCCGACGAUCUGUAGCUGGUCUGAGAGGACGACCAGCCACACUGGGACUGAGACACGGCCCAGACUCCUACGGGAGGCAGCAGUGGGGAAUUUUUGGGACAAUGGGCGAAAGCCUGAUCCAGCAAUGCCGCGUGAGUGAUGAAGGCC